ACAGGAUUAUAACUGUUUCACAGGCUUUGUUUAAAUUUGUAGCUCAAAAUACAUUAAUGAGAUUCUUAGGGAUAACAAAGAGAGAUUAAGGGACAUGGGGGCUGAAUCAAUCAACACUUAUAUUAAGAUAUAACUUUUCAAGGUCAGAGUGCAAAGAUUUAAAAAAAUUCUUGAUACCUCUUGAACCCAUUUGCAAACCACAACUGUCUUUUUGGAGUGAUUAGUUGUCCAGUUAUAGAGCAGUUUAUUCACUAGCUAUAACUCAGAAUGUGUCAUCUGCGUUUUGAAUCUAGCGUCUCCCCAUCUUCGGCAAUCGUCGGCUGUUUUCGACUGUGAUGUAACAAAUGGCACACCCUCCGUUCAUUUGGUGUUACCGUGCGAGCACGCACGCACACACACACACACACGUCGCUGUUCGGGUUAUUGCUACGUAUUUUGCUAUUUCACAAUGUUUCAUAGUGUGACAGCUGGUUUAAUGAGUGGUGAUAAGAGCUGCUUGAGCUUUCCAAGCAAUAAAAUAGCAAUAUAAGACCAGUGGAUCUUCUAGGCUCAAUCGGUGCGGGCUGGGGGUAAGCUGCAUAUCUUGUGGCUACCUAGCAAAUACAUGUAACUUUCGAACUGGCAUAUUUUCGGAAACAUUUAGCAGAAUGUAUUGGAGACCCGGGCAUAGUUCGAGCCAGGCUGAAACCAGAUGAGGUGACGAUUUUCCCUUCGACAAUCGCAUUGUCAACCCGGACACUGGUUGCCAUGGUAACGGGAAAAACAGCACAUAGAGGAUGCAGGUUUCAAGAUGCCGACCAAAAAAGUUUGAGAAUCCGCUGGUCCUGUAUGCCAAGAUAAGAGAUCAAGGAACCAGGUGCUCCUUUGAAAUGCAUACAAGGCCCUCUGGGACAAUGGAUGUAACACCAGCGACACCCACUGGCGGGUGGAGGGUUACUGCCAUCGGCGGAAGCACGAGGGACAAGCUUCACCAAAUUUGAAUGUUGGGUGACAUUUUAAGAACUUAGCAUGAAUGCUCCCAGUGUAUAUCACACCAAAGUCACUAGUGAUAGUAUUUCUUCGAAUUUGAAUGUCUGAUGUCAAAUCUGUUUGUCAACUGAACCGGAUGAGAUGUUUCACCCCACACAACACAAAUGCCACAUUGCAAAUAUUACAGUGUUCUCAACAACCACAUGAAAUUGAAACACUCAUUACAUGGAUUGAAUAGGGCGUGUGCGUGACAAUGCAAAGCUGGAAACCGGUUUCCUUAUCUUAGAUCCAAUAAUUAAUCUUUUAUUCCCACUGGUUUAAAACCACAAAUAAUCCUAGGAUGAAAAAGUAGUACUAAGAGGCGCGGUCUAUCUCCCUUUUGGUACCCGGGGUGGCCACUCCCCCUCUCUGCUGGGCAUAAAAGGCCUGAGCCCCCUUGUGCGAGACUCUCGCUCGCUCGUUCACCUUGCCGAAGAACUGGCGUAUCACCAGCGAACCCCACCACGAGGCGGGGAGAUGCACUCAAUGGAACGCGGAGGGCAGAAGCCCUCUGCCGCGCCCCGAAACCACGCUUUGGUGCGUAUGAGGUAGCUUUGACAGACCCGUUCGGGAGAAAGUGCGACGCAAGUUUGCUCCGAGCGCCUGGCGAACAGCGCCACCCAAGGGCUCUUCUUUUGCUUUUUCCUUUUUCCCCACCUCCUUAUUCCAUCAAAUCCACCUGUUCCUUGACUGGACUGGCCAAGCAUCCGGGCGAUCGACGAGCCUGCCUAAAUUGUGUCACACGCAAUGUAAAUCGAACAUGCGGUCUCCCAACGUACAGAUUGGUACAUAUAUAUUUGCCAAGUAUGUCAAAAACAUUUGUCUCCGGUAGUUGGAGCCGCAACAGACAGUCAAUUGACAGGGAAUACUUUUGACAGGGAAUAUAAAGACAGGGAAUAUAAAGACAUAAAAAGCACAGUCACUGAGCAAUAAAAGGUUACCAGUAAUGAUUUUUUUUUAUUAUUUGACAAUUGUGCAAAAAGAUGCAGUCUUCUAGCAAUUAGAGCUGUUUGAAAUGACUAAUAUAACAAUAGCCUGGUGAAAUGACCAUUGUGCAAAUGGUGCAGAUACUACUCAGGCACAUGAGUGGCCAGCAUUGGUCAACAACAGAUAUGCAAAUAGUGCAGAGUUGCGAGACAACUACAGUGAGUGCACGAGUAAUGUAUAAUUGGCCCGACAGAGAUGUCACAACAAUCUCAAGACAAAAUUGGCAGCAUGUUGCAAUGUAAGUUAGCUGUUAUUUGGGUUUAAAUGAACAUCAACAGGAAUCCCAGCUCUAUGCAUUGGAUCACCGUACAUCCUCACUUCACACCUACAUCACAAGUUUGACCUGCUUUACGGAUGUUUACCUGUACCUUGUUUUUCUUUUCUCUGCAUUGUUUCCCUGUAGAUUGGUUCCCUUUUAGAUUUCAUUAAAUUUUAUAUAAAAUUCCA